rnacentral:rRNA from 1 species
GACGAACGCUGGCGGCGUGCCUAAUACAUGCAAGUCGAACGAGUGGCGGACGGGUGAGGAACACGUGGGAAACCAACCCACAGAGGGGGAUAACUACGGGAAACUGGAGCUAAUACCGCGUACAAUAGGAUGAGCCCAAGUGGGAUUAGGUAGUUGGUGAGGUAAAGGCUCACCAAGCCGACGAGCUCUAGCUGGUCUGAGAGGAUGACCAGCCACCCUGGGACUGAGACACGUCCCAAGCUCCUACGGUAGGCAGCAGUGGGGAAUAUUGCGCAAUGGGGGCAACCUGACGCAGCCAUGCCGCGUGAAUGAAGAAGGCCUUCGGGUUGUAAAGUUCUUUCGGUAGCGAUGCUUUAACUACAGAAGAAGCCCCGGCUAACUCCGUGCCAGCCGCCGCGGUAAUAC